rnacentral:rRNA from 1 species
GAUGAACGCUGGCGGCGUGCUUAACACAUGCAAGUCGAGCGAAGCACUUAUGAAAGAUUCUUCGGAUGAUUUCAUUUGUGACUGAGCGGCGGACGGGUGAGUAACGCGUGGGUAACCUGCCUCAUACAGGGGGGAUAACAGUUGGAAACGACUGCUAAUACCGCAUAAGCGCACAGUACCGCAUGGUACAGUGUGAAAAACUCCGGUGGUAUGAGAUGGACCCGCGUCUGAUUAGCUAGUUGGUGGGGUAACGGCCUACCAAGGCGACGAUCAGUAGCCGACCUGAGAGGGUGACCGGCCACGAUUGGGACUGAGACACGGCCCAAACUCCUACGGGAGGCAGCAGUGGGGAAUA